UACAGAGGGUGCAAGCGUUAAUCGGAAUUACUGGGCGUAAAGCGUGCGUAGACGGUUAUGUAAGUCAGAUGUGAAAGCCCAGGGCUCAACCUUGGAAUUGCAUUUGAGACUGCAUAGCUAGGGUGCGGAAGAGGGAAGCGGAAUUUCCGGUGUAGCGGUGAAAUGCGUAGAUAUCGGAAGGAACACCAGUGGCGAAAGCGGCUUCCUGGUCCAGCACCGACGUUCAGGCACGAAAGCGUGGGGAGCAAACAGG
rnacentral:rRNA from 1 species